rnacentral:rRNA from 1 species
GACGUAGGGCGCGAGCGUUGUCCGGAUUUAUUGGGCGUAAAGAGCUCGUAGGCGGCUUGUCGCGUCGUCCGUGAAAACCCACAGCUCAACUGUGGGCUUGCGGUCGAUACGGGCAGGCUAGAGUUCGGUAGGGGAGACUGGAAUUCCUGGUGUAGCGGUGAAAUGCGCAGAUAUCAGGAGGAACACCGGUGGCGAAGGCGGGUCUCUGGGCCGAUACUGACGCUGAGGAGCGAAAGCGUGGGGGAGCAAACAGG